rnacentral:rRNA from 1 species
GUGGGGAAUAUUGGACAAUGGGCGAAAGCCUGAUCCAGCCAUGCCGCGUGUGUGAAGAAGGUCUUCGGAUUGUAAAGCACUUUAAGUUGGGAGGAAGGGCAGUAAGUUAAUACCUUGCUGUUUUGACGUUACCGACAGAAUAAGCACCGGCUAACUUCGUGCCAGCAGCCGCGGUAAUACGAAGGGUGCAAGCGUUAAUCGGAAUUACUGGGCGUAAAGCGCGCGUAGGUGGUUUUGUAAGUUGGAGGUGAAAUCCCCGGGCUCAACCUGGGAACUGCAUCCAAAACUGGCGAGCUAGAGUACGGUAGAGGGUGGUGGAAUUUCCUGUGUAGCGGUGAAAUGCGUAGAUAUAGGAAGGAACACCAGUGGCGAAGGCGACCACCUGGACUGAUACUGACACUGAGGUGCGAAAGCGUGGGGAGCAAACAGGAUUAGAAACCCGUGUAGUCC